rnacentral:lncRNA from 1 species
UGCCCUUCUCCGGGGCGGGUGAAGCCCUCUCCGCUGGGGAGCAGGCAGCGAGGCGCCCCGAUCUGUUCUUGGUUGCCCCCCGGGGCCGUGUGAUCAGGGCUCCCCAGCUCCCCCCUCUACCAGUGGCAAAGCACACGAUCCAGGGGGCACGUUUCGCUUGUGGGGGGUGGCGAGGGAAGCCGAGGCGUCCUGCCUGUGCCAGGCGACAGCCGGCAGCAGCUCGUGAAGGCUUCCAAUAUAGAUCAGGCUGUGCUACGGACUGGGUGACAGCCGGCUCCAUCACCAUAUUUGACUUCCCCCGUGGACCACCUCACCAGAGAGGCCCUGGAGAUGGAAAUCUUCACUCUGAGGGAAUCUCCAAAGCUGAAACAAGGCACAGGAGUAAUUCAGAGUGCUCCUUCAGGCUGAUACAGGAGCAGGAUGGGAAAUAUGGGGGUAGCUGUACCCAUGGUUUAUUCCAGUACAGUGGUUCCUAUGUUGACUAUUCAGAAGCCGGCAAAAGAUUAGUUGAAAACAGAUGGCUCUUAAUUGGCAGCCCCAGCUUACUUCCUGUUUUCUGCAGAAACCAUUAAAUUAAGGUUUAAAUCAAACUUCAUUCAAGUUAGGGGCUGCAUGUAAUUAUUUAGAAAUCUAGAUAGACUUAAAAGCUUAGAUUAAGGUUCCAUUUACUGUAGAGGAUGAAAACACGUGACCCUCCCUGUGAGGCCAAAUCACUAGAAGAGUUUAUGCAAUCCGCAUUGGAAAGCCGAGUAGUGAGUGCCCCAGCUCGGUUAUUCACGGGGUCUCUGCUUGAGGAAUGGAGGAAAAAAGAUUUGCAUAGUACUUUCCCCAGUACCAGACCGGCAGGGAAUUGAUACUACCUCUUGGGUAUCUGUGAUGCUGCAGCAAAGAAUGACUCUGCUCAUGAUGGGUGCAAGGGGGGAGGGAUAGCUCAGUGGUUUGAGCAUUGGCCUGCUAAACCCAAGGUUGUGAGUUCAAUCCUUGAGGGGGCCAUUUGGGGAUUUAGUUAGGAAUUGGUCCUGCUUUGAGCAGGGGGUUGGACUAGAUACCUCCUGAGGUCCCUUCCAACCCUGACAUUCUAUGAAAAUCAUAGGCAAUACAGAGCACCCAGACAGCAGAGUAACAGCUGGAAUGAGCCUCCUUGCACCUCUGCAGGGGUCACAUGGCCAGAGGCCACAUAGGAAGGUGGGUAAGGAGUGGACUUCUGGCUCUGCCGCCUCACUCAACGUGAUGCUCUGCACAGCAGAGAAGGGGAAGCAGGAACCAGAUUAUGAGUGAGUCGCUCCUGGCACUGGCCAGCUACAAGAAUUCCCCUGCAUUGGGCAGAAAUGUAGGGGUGCAGUCUAGCCCUAUAGAACAAAAUCCAGUGACUGGAGUGCUAGGUCCAGAGACAAGUUAGAAAAAACAACUUCGAUUUAUUUAAGUGCAUUUAAAUUAAACA